UUUUAUUUUUUUAGUUUUAUUCUUUACCCCGUUUGCUACCCGAGUUUUAAAAUUCAAAAGUCGUUUUGGUUUAUGUUUAUUUCAGCCUGUGUUUUUUUUCUUUGAGAGAGAAAGAGACAACCUAGCCGACCCAAGGCCCAGCCGACGCACGUAACCCUAGACCUAGGAUGUCCCAUCCAUUCUUUCCCCAAUUCCCGCAACGCCGCCGCCACCUACUUCCUCGGGAUCUCCUCCUGACCAACUAGAGCCUCC
rnacentral:lncRNA from 1 species